rnacentral:rRNA from 1 species
ACGAACGCUGGCGGCGUGCUUAACCCAUGCAAGUCGAACGGAAAGGCCCUGCUUUUGUGGGGUGCUCGAGUGGCGAACGGGUGAGUAACACGUGAGUAACCUGCCCUUGACUUUGGGAUAACUUCAGGAAACUGGGGCUAAUACCGGAUAGGAGCUCCUGCUGCAUGGUGGGGGUUGGAAAGUUUCGGCGGUUGGGGAUGGACUCGCGGCUUAUCAGCUUGUUGGUGGGGUAGUGGCUUACCAAGGCUUUGACGGGUAGCCGGCCUGAGAGGGUGACCGGGCACAUUGGGACUGAGAGACGGCCCAGACUCCUACGGGAGGCAGAAGUGGGGAAUAUUGCACAAUGGGCGGAAGCCUGAUGCAGCAACGCCGCGUGCGGGAUGACGGCCUUCGGGUUGUAAACCGCUUUCGCCUGUGACGAAGCGUGAGUGACGGUAAUGGGUAAAGAAGCACCGGCUAACUACGUG